ensembl:lncRNA
GCCAGCCGGACCGCCACCAGCGAGAGUGAGGCCGCAACCGUCACGUGACCUCCCCCCUGUCUCCCAGGCGUUUCCCUCCGCCCCGCGCUAGCGAGGAGCGCGGCCAAUGAGAAAGGCACAUACCUGGCCCCCGCCGGCCCGCAGUCCUGCCGGAGUGCGCCUGCGCGCGGCGGGGGUGGCCGGGCGGGGCUCCAGCCUGGAAGGUGCGUGCUGGGCUGGGUCCGGGAGUGGGAGACGUGGAGUGCAGAAUCAGGGGUACAGAGAGAUGAGGCAGGUUCCAGCACACCUCAGUCAAACCUCAGCAACCCUGAAUGCUUGGGUAGAGAGGUAAGUAUCUUAUCCACUCAGCUUGCCUUAGCGAGGCAGUGUGGGACAGUGGUUAGCAAUGUGUGCCUGAGAGCUGGAACUCUGGUUCCAGUCUUGGUGCUAGCACUUAGUACUUAAGUAGUUGCAUGGCCUUGAGAGGUGGCUUCACAUCCCUGUGCCUCAGUUGCUGCAUCUGCAAUAUGGGAAUAAAAACACAAGUUAUUCAUUCAACAAAUAUUUACUAAGUAUGUUCUACAUGCCCAACACUGUGCUAGGCAUGGGGGACACAGCAAUGAACAAAACAGACAGAGAUCCCUGGCUUCAUGGAGUUUACAUUCUAGCAGGGGUAAGAAACAACAAGCGAACAGCAGCAGCAGGUCCUGAACGUCUACCAAGGAUGGAUUGGCAAGAGCAGCCUGGUUGGAAGGAGAGCCAGAGUUGUCUUCUUAAAGCUGCACUCACAUAUCCUUUAUAUUUGGAGAAAGCUUCCAACGUCCCUCUCAAAGACUUGGAGGGAGAGGAGGAGGAGACAUUGGGAGUGUUCAUGAGAAGCCAAUGCCACCUCUGGGUUCAGGUGCUAUUGGGGGCAGGGCGGGGAGGGAUGGCGGGCAGCCACACAGAUCUACAGGAGAGGCAGCUGUCUACACCUGGGACCCCGAGGCAGUUUGGGAUCAGAUCCUGGCUCCACCAUUUCCUGGCUGUGUCCUUUUGUGCCCAUGACUUGACCUCUCUGGGUCUUUAGUUUCUUUAUCUGUUAUACAGGGCUAAGAAAGAGACUGGUGUGAGAAAUUAAAUACAUAAGGUGCUUCCAGCAGCACUUGGCUCAGUAAGCAAGGAGCUCUGCCCUCUUCAGGGGAGAGGGCGGGGCAAGGAAAAGACAUUCUGCCUUAUUUUCUGUUCAUGAGUUGGUUCAACAUCGUAGUGUCCCGGAACAGAACUGAGCUCUGGGCGCAAAUUCCAUACCGACAAACUGAUACCGUACAACCUGAGCAGAGAUGUCCCCGACCCCUACUGCCUCACCUGAAAAACGGGGCUGACAAUGCUUUGCCCCCAGAUAUGCAGCGGCAUGGUGUUAUUUUCAAGCUGAGACAUCAACCAUUUUCCAUCGUGACGCCACUCUGCCCCUCCCCUGCUUUAUUUUUCCUCAAGGCACAUACUGUAUGUUUCACUCCUCUAUCGUCUCCCCCAAAAGAGUGUCAUCUUUACUAGGAUUUUUGGUUUGGUUUUUUUUUUCUGUUUUGUGCUGUAUUCCCAGGUUCUACACAGGCCUUACCAGCAAGUAGUCACUGAACAAAUACUAGUUGAAUGAACAGAUGAAUGAAUGGGGCGCUGCUGUGUACAGUCCCUGUGCUGUGUGGUACUGGGCACACAGCAGUGACUGAGACAGCCCCGCGCUGCCCACAUGGGUUUCACAGGCCAGUGGGGCAGACUCCUCACCAGGUAGUGCCAGCCCUCCGGAGGGCUGAGAUUGGGGAAGCAUAGGCAGAAGGGUCGGGGCUGGGAUGGAAAAGCCCAGGGACUGCUGGAACCCAAAAGGGGGAAUCUGGACCAGCCCAGGAGUCAGGAAGGGCUUCCUGGGGGAGGGGGCACAGGAGCUGAUAGGAAUGAGUGACAUGAAGAGAAGAGAAAGGUGUGCUGGGCAGGAGCAGCAGCUGUGGGAGUGUUUGGUGGUAAAGGUGUGGUUUCAGUUCAAGGAACUGAAAGAUAUUAAAUAUGGACGGGAUAUAAAGGGUGGUGAGACAGUAAGCAAAAGAGGUUAUUAAGGGGAGAUCCUUCAGAGCUCUGGGAACCACAGUGAGGAGCCGAGACUUUGUCCUGAGGACCCCAGGGGCUGGCGGGGGGCAUAGAGACGUUUUUGAGCAGGAGAGGGAUGAGUUUGACUCAGAUGGAGGGGGGACUAGGAGGGCUGGGUGGAGGUUGGGAGCCAAGGGAGGUGACAGGAGUGGGGACCCAGGUGGGAGAGGGCAGGUUGAGGCCGUGGAAGGGAGAAAAAAAGAAGUGUGUGGGAGAGACCCUCAGGAGGUCAAGUGGACAAGUUGUGGAGGGUCCAGGGUGAGGCCCAGGGCUUUGGGGCAAUCAGGGAGGGUUUUCUGGAGAAGGUGGCACACAGACUGAGACCUGUGGGAUGGAUAAGACAGCUGACCUUGGGAACCCCUGGGGAGAAGCUUCUAGAAGGCCAUGGGACUUCCAAAGCUGAAGUUCAGGGAAGAGGUGAGAGCUGGAGACAGCUUUGGGCCCUAGAGGAUAUAGUGAGAAGUUUGCCCUUUGCUCUGAGGGCAGUGGGGAGCCACAGAGGGGUUUUGAGCAGGGAUGAAACAGCUUAAAUUUUUUAGUUCCAACUCCGAAAUAUUCACCAGUCACGAUGUGGUUUUUUGUUGUUUUGUUGGUUUUUUGUUUUUGGUGGGGUUUUUUGUUGUUGUUUUUACCCAUAUAAUUGUUUUUCAGACCAAGCAUCUUCUCUCUCUAGGAAGGGCAUCUUCUAGGGGUCCUUUGAAAUAAAGGUUCUACCGCUAAAAACCA